rnacentral:rRNA from 1 species
UACGUAGGGUGCAAGCGUUGUCCGGAAUUAUUGGGCGUAAAGAGCUCGUAGGCGGCUUGUCGCGUCGGCUGUGAAAACCUGGGGCUCAACUCCGGGCUUGCAGCCGAUACGGGCAAGCUAGAGUUCGGUAGGGGAGACUGGAAUUCCUGGUGUAGCGGUGAAAUGCGCAGAUAUCAGGAGGAACACCGGUGGCGAAGGCGGGUCUCUGGGCCGAUACUGACGCUGAGGAGCGAAAGCGUGGGGAGCGAACAGG